CACACUCGGCGGGCGAUCCAGGGGUGUGUGGAGGGAAGCCACUUUUUGGCGCGCCCCCACAUGGCCCGCCGGGGUGGCGCCAGGUGCACAUGCCCCCCCGCCCCCCUAUAGUUACGCCCCUGGCUGGGAGAGAAGAGGGGCUGCCUCAAAAGAGCCCCUUGGUGCUUCAGUGGCAACUUAGUAGCCUGUAAAUCUCCCCCGCCCAGCCCUGUGAGGAGGCUCCUCUGUCUGGAGGGCGGUGACUCCCUCAAAAGAGCUUGGGUGUUUCUAGGGUUUGAUUAUGGAUGGCUUCCCCCACCUGUUAUCGCUGUAUGCUGCUUGGAAUAUUGUUUAAAUACAAACUUAAAAUAUUUGUAAAAACUAAAAUAAAUAGGCUUUAAAUAGGAUAAAAUAAAAAAAAUAGGUUAAAAGCUAAAAUAAUAGGAUAAAAUCUAAAAAAAACCCCAAUGAGCUAGUGCAGUAUAAUAAAGGAAAUAUAGGUCAUUAACAGGGAAAGUUGACAAAAAAUAGUGUGAGGCAUUUUCAAAGCAGGUUAGAUAUUACUCAGAGCAGCCUGCAAAGGAGCUAGAGGAUUACUUUCUUAUAUGGACUCCAUGUUUUUGCUUUGAAUAACCCUUGAUUUAGUCAGAGGAUAGCUUUCUCAUUCUAGACUGUAUCUCAUUGCUCUACAUGGCCUCUCAUCUAGUAGGUACGCUCUGAGUAGUGGUGAAAUGGCAUAUCCGACUUGCCCAGACAGUCAGCUUGGUCUGCCCUGCCCGUGGAGGAAAAGAUGGAUGGUGGAAGUGUGGCAUCUCCAACCAGCCCAGAUAAUCAGCUUGGUCUGCCCUGCCCACAGAGAAAGCAAGGACAGUGGAAAAGCAGCAUCCUUGACCUCUUCAAGCAGCGUGGUGUGCUGAGCAGGCUCGGCUGGCUGAAGGCACAUGGUGAUGAGGCAAGGAAAUACUGUAUGUCCUGGAGGCUUAAGAUUUCAGGAGGCGAAGGGGAGAAAAGACAAAGUAGUGCAGGAGGAGGAAGAAGAACAAGCAGAAAGGAGCAACAGGAGACAUGAAAAGGGAAGAGGAUAGAUGAUAUCGCAGGUGCACCUAGGUAACUUGGAGCCUGGACCUAAAGGCCUUUGGAGUUUAAAGGCCCCCUUGCUGGAGGCCCCCCCUCCACCGCUGCAAGUUAUGCAUCACCCCCCCCACACGCUAUUUUCAGCAGGCAGUGACUUAUUGGAACACAACUGCUGGUUCUGAUGGACACUUUUGCAGGUGGUCCGAACAACGUUCUUGACAUCCGAAGGCUGAUGGUAGUUUGACCUUCUGCAUGCAAAACAGGUGCUCAGCAGAGGUGACCUUGUGUGCUGCAGCCCACCAACCGUGACUUGUCCUAACGAGCCAGGAGGGGCGCAGACUGGCCUCGGCAAUGAUUGCUUCGUUGAAAAGGCUCACUCCUGCAAGUCAGGCCAGAGAUCACACCCACACUAUUUCUGAAAAUCUCUAAGAUAUUUUCUAAAGAGUUGAAGAAGGGCAGAUUUGGGUGUGAAAAAAAUGGCAACCAGCCCAAUCCACGGUUCUUUCUGCAUCAGGCUGAUCAUGCUUGUUUGUCUUGCCCAAGAAGACUGUAGCCAGUCAAAUGAGGCACAGCUGCCUCCAGUUCCCAGCAGCGCUGGUUGUGCCACCUCUCCCAUUCUUCCUGAGAACCAUGCUGCCUGCAGGCUGGUCAUUCAUCAGGUAGAGCUACACAGUUCUGUGCAGCUCUAUCUGAUGAAUGUCCAGUCUGCAGGCAGCAUGACAGAGGGAGAGAGCAGCCACCUGAGCUGCCAAGAACCAGAGGCACCUGUGCCUAAUUUGGUGCAAAUAUGCUGCCUCUGCCAGUCAACGAAGACAAUACUGAACUAGAUGGACCAAGGGUCUAUGUUCCUAUGUAAACCUUUGUUGCUUGAUGGUGUCGAAUUGGAUCAAUUAUUGUGUAUAUAUGUUUUAAUAGAUUUGUACUAUUUUCAAUGUUGAAAUUUAAGUAUGUAAUGUAUUUGUGCUGUUUAGAAAAUACUCUAAACCACCUUGGGAUUUUUUUUAAUGAAAGGCGGUACUGUAUACAAA